rnacentral:rRNA from 1 species
ACAGGGAUUGCCCUAGUAACGGCGAGUGAAGCGGCAACAGCUCAAAUUUGAAAUCUGGCGUCUUUGGCGUCCGAGUUGUAAUUUGCAGAGGGCGCUUUGGCAUUGGCAGCGGUCCAAGUUCCUUGGAACAGGACGUCACAGAGGGUGAGAAUCCCGUACGUGGUCGCUAGCCUUUACCGUGUAAAGCCCCUUCGACGAGUCGAGUUGUUUGGGAAUGCAGCUCUAAAUGGGAGGUAAAUUUCUUCUAAAGCUAAAUACUGGCCAGAGACCGAUAGCGCACAAGUAGAGUGAUCGAAAGAUGAAAAGCACUUUGGAAAGAGAGUUAAAAAGCACGUGAAAUUGUUGAAAGGGAAGCGCUUGCAGCCAGACUUGCCUGUAGUUGCUCAUCCGGGUUUUUACCCGGUGCACUCUUCUAUAGGCAGGCCAGCAUCAGUUUGGGCGGUUGGAUAAAGGUCUCUGUCAUGUACCUCUCUUCGGGGAGAACUUAUAGGGGAGACGACAUGCAACCAGCCCGGACUGAGGUCCGCGCAUCUGCUAGGAUGCUGGCGUAAUGGCUGUAAGCGGCCCGUCUUGAAACACGGACCAAGGAGUCUAACAUCUAUGCGAGUGUUUGGGUGUCAAGCCCGAACGCGUAAUGAAAGUGAACGGAGGUGGGAACCUUUCGGGGUGCACCAUCGACCGAUCCUGAUGUCUUCGGAUGGAUUUGAGUAAGAGCAUAGCUGUUGGGACCCGAAAGAUGGUGAACUAUGCUUGAAUAGGGUGAAGCCAGAGGAAACUCUGGUGGAGGCUCGCAGCGGUUCUGACGUGCAAAUCGAUCGUCAAAUUUGGGCAUAGGGGCGAAAGACUAAUCGAACUAUCUAGUAGCUGGUUCCUGCCGAAGUUUCCCUCAGGAUAGCAGUAACGUUUUCAGUUUUAUGAGGUAAAGCGAAUGAUUAGAGGCAUGGGGGUUGAAACAACCUU